rnacentral:rRNA from 1 species
AAAUUGAAGAGUUUGAUCAUGGCUCAGAUUGAACGCUGGCGGCAGGCCUAACACAUGCAAGUCGAACGGUAACAGAAAGCAGCUUGCUGCUUUGCUGACGAGUGGCGGACGGGUGAGUAAUGUCUGGGAAACUGCCCGAUGGAGGGGGAUAACUACUGGAAACGGUAGCUAAUACCGCAUAACGUCGCAAGACCAAAGAGGGGGACCUUCGGGCCUCUUGCCAUCGGAUGUGCCCAGAUGGGAUUAGCUAGUAGGUGGGGUAA